CGAAUGCUGACAUAAGUAACGAUAAAGCGGGUGAAAAGCCCGCUCGCCGGAAGACCAAGGGUUCCUGUCCAACGUUAAUCGGGGCAGGGUGAGUCGACCCCUAAGGCGAGGCCGAAAGGCGUAGUCGAUGGGAAACAGGUUAAUAUUCCUGUACUUGGUGUUACUGCGAAGGGGGGACGGAGAAGGCUAUGUUGGCCGGGCGACGGUUGUCCCGGUUUAAGCGUGUAGGCUGGUUUUCCAGGCAAAUCCGGAAAAUCAAGGCUGAGGCGUGAUGACGAGGCACUACGGUGCUGAAGCAACAAAUGCCCUGCUUCCAGGAAAAGCCUCUAAGCAUCAGGUAACAUCAAAUCGUACCCCAAACCGACACAGGUGGUCAGGUAGAGAAUACCAAGGCGCUUGAGAGAACUCGGGUGAAGGAACUAGGCAAAAUGGUGCCGUAACUUCGGGAGAAGGCACGCUGAUAUGUAGGUGAAGCGACUUGCUCGUGGAGCUGAAAUCAGUCGAAGAUACCAGCUGGCUGCAACUGUUUAUUAAAAACACAGCACUGUGCAAACA
rnacentral:rRNA from 1 species